rnacentral:lncRNA from 10 species
CGUCGCUGGAUGGUGUGUCCAACCCCGAGGAAUCUGAGAGCGAGAGCCAGGGCUGGCUGCUGGAGAGGAGCGUGCCGGAGACCUGGAAGGCCUUUCUGGAGAGUGUGAAGAAGCUGGGCAAGGGCAACCAGGUGGAAGCCGAGGGCGCAGACGCAGGCCAGGCCCCAGAGGCUGGCUGAGGGCCCUGGGGCCCCUCCCCUCCCGAACACUGAGAAAUAGUGCACUCCAAGAAACGUGGAUCUCCCCCUCAUCCAACUCCGAAAGUCUGAAUCUCCCAAGGAGGGCACCAUCUUACAGAGACUCUCCCUGACGGUGGAAUUUAAGUUUAGGGUCCCUAAAAGCAUUUGACACACAGUUGUUGAAUGACUGACCCAAAAUGUGAAUGAAGCUAAUGUGAAUGUGAGUGAAGCUCCCUUCAGGCCCGCUGCCCUAGGAUAUGCCCUCCUGGUGACUCGGGGGCUGUCUCAGACGACUAGCCCAGGACCCAUCUUUCUCACACGGAUUUAGUCCCACCCUAUGGCCACUGGCCGUAUCUGAGGGCUGCUCCCCUUUUAGAAUUUACCUCUUAUGAGCUCCAUGUUGCUUCACUCUAUCCAAAGUGUCACUUGGUGCAUAAGCACAGAAAUCUGAAAAAUGGCCAUGUUGUCUUUUUUUUUUUUUUUUAAUGCCAAGAUUGACAGGUUGGCCGUUUGCUUAAUGCCAGAAGUUGGGGGAAAGUUACGCUUUUCUAAGAAUAAUGGACUCUUAAGGCAUUGAGGGCUCUAAACAGGAUUCUUUAAUCAUGGAGCAAGAGAAUUUCAAGGCAGGGGAUUUUAUCCCCCACCAAAAACACAGUGAAAGGCCUGCUUUUGUGUCCCAUUCACAUGCCCUCGGUCACUGAGUCUGGAGUGAACCACGGGUUGAGGAAGUCAGGCUGUUGGCGUGUCCCAGCACCACACCACCCCUAAAGUGCCAGGUGAUCUCCUGUGGCUCAUCGGUGGAAGCAGUGGGGUAGGCUGCUGCCCUGCUGUGGAAGAGGAGCAACAAUCAGACAUGAGUCCACCCUUUGGAGACCAGGCCUCAGCUCUUGGUGGGCCCAGGGACACCCACACAGGUGGCCAUCACAGCCCCAUGGACAACACUAAUUGUCCACAGCAAAGGGCAAGGAAUCCUCUGGGAGCUUCUUCCGUUUCUUCCCCCCAGAUACCCAUCUUGAAAAACACUAUUUCUGGAAUGCUUCUGCAUCAAAGGAGAUUCUUUGAGAUAGCCCAUCUUCCUGAGCUAGCAAAUACAGGAGUUUUCACUUUCUUUAGGAAAGAGAAGCUUUCAGGGGAAGGAGAGAAUGAUUUUGCUGACUUCCCAAGCCCUGGUGACCAGACCAAGGCAGGGCCCAGCAUAAUUCCUCCAGUUGGAUGAACAUUCAAGAGAGCUCGUUCCUACCUGGCUGGAGACCGAGGCCAGAAGGCAAAAACCAGAAAGGGAACAGUCCAUAACUUACCUCUGCUUCUGACCGAUGGUGUUUGGGAAUAGGUUACUUUGGACUGAGUUUGGGUUCUCUGCUGUCCUAAGAACUUCAGUGUAGAGAAAAUAAGACUUCUGGUGCUGCUGGGGUAUGUUCUGGGCUUAAUUCCCCCAAGCAGAAGACCAGAUCCAAGAUGUUUGGACACCCUGUCAGACGUUGGUCCCAAGUUUAAUUAGAUUUCUGAAUCUCGUUGAGGCCAAGGAAUGAUCCAUACUGAAAAAAUGCUGAGCCAGCCAUCUUUGGCAAAGGUCCCUGAGCUCUUGCUAUCUCUCAAGAGUGCUGAGAACCACGGUGAAAGUGCUGCUCUAGGCCCACAAGUGUAACUAUGCUGUUAACAGCUGUCAAUAGAUAAUUAAAAUUCAUACUGUAUGAAAAUCACUUUUGUUAAAUGACUGUUUAAGCCCAUUCAACAACAUAUAUCAGAAUCCCCUACUACCGCUAGUAUUUGCCAAAAAAGAAAAGAAACCCACCCUAAGGGAAGCAUUGGUAACAAUCGUUGUUAUAAACAUGGCUUGGGUAUCACAUCUCUCCAUCUUGCCAUCUCUUACCUGUAAGAACGGUGACUAUUACAACAGUGACUAUUAUUAUAUCCAAAUAAUCUCAGCAUUUGCUGGAGUUUGAACCAGAGCUGAAUACAUGGAAUUUUAAUGUAGAAAUUUAGGCAAAACUCCAAGCCAUUUUUUCUUCUCCUCUGGCCAAAACGUUAUUUCCUCAAACAGGGAAAUAUGAGUCUCUAUGGGGCCAGGUUAUAGGAGCAAAUGUGAACAACCUGAGAAUCUGAAGGUUGUUGAGAGGACCAAGAGUGCAUUGACUCUACAAUAAAUCUCACUCAUUGGUUCGGAGCAGGCUUAGGGUUAACUGCAUUUUAACAGGUCUUCUCAGGUAGCCGGUAGUUGCGAGAGAAACCUGGACCAUCCCUUUUGGUCACCUACCAGUGCCCAGGAAGUCUCUGCUAUCAGGUUUUUGCUUGUGUGUAACUUCAGUCUUUCCUUGGGCUGGUGUAAAUCCUUUUCUCCUGAGGGACCCAGCCUACUUUUUUUUUUUUUUUUUCAAAUAUGGAGUUUUGCUCUUGUUGCCCAGGCUGGAGUGCAAUGGCAUGAUCUCAGCUCACUGCAACCUCCGCCUCCUGGGUUCAAGUGAUUCUCCUGCCUCAGCCUCCCUACUAGCUGGGAUUACAGGCGUUUGCCACCACGCCCGGCUAAUUUUUGUAUUUUUAUUAGAGAUGAGAUUUCACCAUGUUGGCCAGGCUGGUCUCGAACUCCUGUCCUUAGGUGAUCUGCCCGCCUUGGCCUCCCAAAGUGCUGGGAUUAUAGGAGUGAGCCACCUGGCCCAGCUAGCUUUUAAAGUUCUGCCAGCAUAGCCCCGGGAUGGGGUGGGGGUAGACAGGGCCUUAGGACUUUCAUUUUUAAAAUGCUCACUCCACGGUGAAGAAACAGGUGAUGACUAUCCUGAAUAUUUGGGAAGCUGUGUCCUAGAAUUUUUGGCCUCAGUUCCAGAACCCACAGCUUCUUUACAACAUGCUUCAAGCCUGGGACUGAGCUGCCAGUAAAUAAACCCCUAGUAACCUUAAUAUGGGUUAAUAAGAUUAGGUGCCCGCUCUGCACGCUCCCCUGCCCCUCCUCGUCCGGGCACCUGUUACACUAGGCCAGCAUGUUUGCAGCUUAGCCAGGGAAAAUCGUGGACCAAGACAGGGCUUUUCAUCCACGACUGGCUAAAAAGAUGGCUCUCAAUGACAGCGCAGGCAGGCAGCACCACUGUGUUAGGAAGAGAAAAGUGUCUGUCCAAUACUAUGAAAGUCCAGGGAAGAGACAAGUGCCUUCCCAGGUCACAAUGGAUAGAUUGGCUGGAAGGGGAAAAACAUGUCAGUUCUUAACUCCUGACAGCAUUUUAUCCUGUCCAUCACAGAGGACUGUAAACAGCAAAGUUACAGAUUAGAGAAUGCUGAGCUCUCAGGAUGGCAUCAAAUGGAGGAUUAAGAUGUAAGGGACAACUUCUAGCUAUUUACCUGAGGGAAGUGAAAAUUCAGGUUUGUACAAAAACCCAUCCAUGAAUGUUUGUAGCAGUAAUCACCAAAACAAUCACCCAAACUCACCCAAAUGCCCUUCAUCUGGCAACUGCCCAGAAGUCUGUACAACGGAAUGCUACUCAGCAAUCCAAAGGAACAGGGAGGACCCGAAUGCAUUCUUCUUUAGUGAGAAGCCAGACUCAAAAUGCUACAUAUGAUACAAUUCCAUUUAUAUAACAUUCGGGAAGAGACAAAACAAAGGGAGAGAAAAACACUGGUAGCUGAAAGCCAGGAUGAGGCAAGAAGCUGACUACAAAGGGGACUUUUGGGGAAGAUGGAAUUGUUCUAUUUCUCGAUUGUGGUUGUUUAACUGUAUGCAUUUGUUAAAAUGUAUAAAACUGUACACUAAAAAGAGUUAAUCUGUUUGUAAAAUAUACCUCAAUAAAUGUGA